rnacentral:lncRNA from 1 species
GUACUUUGUCACAGCAGCCCUGGGAAAUGAAUACAGAGAGGUUAAGCCAUUUGCCCAUGGUCACACAGCUCGUGUUGUGGUGGAGGGAAUGUCCGCUGGGGGCGUGUGUCUCAAAGCUGAUGUUUCUAGCUUUCUUCUCUGCAGUCACACGCUCCAGAGCAGUGCUGAACGUUAUGCUGGAAGGGACCCCUAAUCAGACGGCCAGCCAUGAGCCCAGGAGAGCAGACCCGCCUUUCCUCUGCUCCCUGCUCCCCCUCGCCUUGGGCAAAGGCAGAGAGUUUCCUCAUGCAGGAAAGGAGGACAAGUUGGAGCCCCAGUGUUGUUGCAGCAAAUGUGGCAGUGAAGGUGACCGUGUCAGGGGCUGAAGCAGGACCUUCAAGAGCAGAGAAGCAGCAGGCACCCUCUGUUCUGUCACUCCCCAUCCACGAGGCACGGCAAGUAAAGCCGCGGGGGUUUCCUCCUUUCGUCCCUCUCCUUGGCUUUGUCUGAGCCCGGCCCACUGUGGCCUCUCCAGUCUGGCUCUUAGUAUGCGCAGCUCUCCCUAAGCUUCCAAGUGGGAUG